GCAAGCCCUUACCAAGAGAGGGUAUGCAAAGACAGGCUGUUCUCCCUUUCCCUGGAAAGGUGGGAUUGCUUGGCAAGUAGCCUUAGAGGAAGUGUUUAGUGUGUGGCAUCAGGGAGAGGGGCUGCUGGCCAGGAUUUCUAACACUGUGAUUACAGGUAGCACAUGCUAAAUUAGGGUUCUACACCCCUAAUACAUGGCCGCAUUAAGCAGGAAGUGAAGAAGCCUGAAUGUGAGAAAGUCCUUGACAACCUUAUAAUAAAGUAGGUGAUGUUUAUAAUGUCUAUUAUGUAUAUAACAUUUGUUCUUUCAGGACAGAAUGUCUUGUUGAUUUGUUACUUAAAUAUUCUACAGGGAUAUUCCUUUUGUCCUCUUUGAUACUUUUUGUUGUUGUCUAAGGGUCAAAUGGCAGGUUUUUUCAACUAGGUAAAGAAAACCCCGUUUUCUGGAUGCCAAAUAUUUAUUUCAUGUACUUAAUGACACUGAACACU